GACGAACGCUGGCGGCGUGCUUAACACAUGCAAGUCGAACGGAAAGGCCCUGCUUUUGUGGGGUGCUCGAGUGGCGAACGGGUGAGUAACACGUGAGUAACCUGCCCUUGACUUUGGGAUAACUUCAGGAAACUGGGGCUAAUACCGGAUAGGAGCUCCUGCUGCAUGGUGGGGGUUGGAUAGUUUCGGCGGUUGGGGAUGAACUCGCGGCUUAUCAGCUUGUUGGUGGGGUAGUGGCUUACCAAGGCUUUGACGGGUAGCCGGCCUGAGAGGGUGACCGGCCACAUUGGGACUGAGAUACGGCCCAGACUCCUACGGGAGGCAGCAGUGGGGAAUAUUGCACAAUGGGCGGAAGCCUGAUGCAGCAACGCCGCGUGCGGGAUGACGGCCUUCGGGUUGUAAACCGCUUUCGCCUGUGACGAAGCGUGAGUGACGGUAAUGGGUAAAGAAGCACCGGCUAACUACGUG
rnacentral:rRNA from 1 species